UUCGAAAAUGCCAUUCUUGUUUACGUACAAAGACUAUACGAAUCCAUUCGUAUCGCAUACGAAUGCGAUACGUAUACGAAAAAGGUGGAUGUCUAUGCAAAAAUGGUUGAUGUCUAGACUAAGGGUUAGAAAAAGUUUAAACGUCAGGAGAGAAAUGUCAAGUGUGUCAAGCCGAUUGAGCGAGGCUCCUGACGGCAAACAGUUUUUUACUGAAUGAAAAUUAAAUAUGUUUCUAUUAUAAUUUGCGUAAUGAAAAGGUUUUUUUUUGAUAAACAUUGAUAGUUAACGUAUGCAUAAAACACAAGAUAAUCGUGCCUAUCUAAAAUUUCCCUUUUAGAAAUGAAAUUUGUUUGGCGAAAUAUGCAAUUAGAACCAAAUUUACAAACUCCGAUGCAAAAACAUAAGCGGGUCAUGGACCUGAAUGAUGCAUUAAAAGUUGACUAUUUACAUUUUGUAGGCAACUUGAGCAGCAUUUUUAGGCAGUUUAUUCUGCUAAUAUUUGUGAUAAGUAGAAGUGUGACCAAGUGUGAGCCGACAGACAUGGAUAGUGAUGCGGCAGGAGUAAUUUUGCGGAGCACGACCAACUGAGCUCGUUCCUUUGAAGUAAAUUAGUCCAUUAAAAGACGGUCGCCGAUAAGAAAAUCAGCCUGGUCUACAAGCGGCAUGAACUGCAGAACAAGCCGCUACUGAAGCAUCGUAUAAUGCAGAACAUCAUCAAUGGCAAACGUACUGACGGGACUUGCGUCAGGCCGCCCUGCAUAGUGCUGAUGUUAUGCGAUUCCAGCGACUGGUGACGGCCUAUAAGAACAGGACUGGUGGUGCCACUGUCUACGAAAGUGCAGGUGCCACUUCCCAAAAAGGUCUAGUGAGCAAAGGUGGACGAUGGAUUGGUAAUUGUGGUGAAUAGGGCCCAAAUGCAGAUAUUUAGUUGGCUCGACUAGGCCAUGUAUUUCAAAUGAGCUGAGCUGCUCGUCGAAGCUUUCGUAAUACAGCCCUAUGAUGUGGGAAUUUUCGUCAUGCAGUAUAAAAUUAGAAGAUGAAAAAUAAAAUAAUUGUUAAACCCUACUAUUCGCAA